UUGAACGCUGGCGGCAGGCCUAACACAUGCAAGUCGAACGGUAACAGGAAGAAGCUUGCUUCUUUGCUGACGAGUGGCGGACGGGUGAGUAAUGUCUGGGAAACUGCCUGAUGGAGGGGGAUAACUACUGGAAACGGUAGCUAAUACCGCAUAACGUCGCAAGACCAAAGAGGGGGACCUUCGGGCCUCUUGCCAUCGGAUGUGCCCAGAUGGGAUUAGCUAGUAGGUGGGGUAACGGCUCACCUAGGCGACGAUCCCUAGCUGGUCUGAGAGGAUGACCAGCCACACUGGAACUGAGACACGGUCCAGACUCCUACGGGAGGCAGCAGUGGGGAAUAUUGCACAAUGGGCGCAAGCCUGAUGCAGCCAUGCCGCGUGUAUGAAGAAGGCCUUCGGGUUGUAAAGUACUUUCAGCGGGGAGGAAGGGAGUAAAGUUAAUACCUUUGCUCAUUGACGUUACCCGCAGAAGAAGCACCGGCUAACUCCGUGCCAGCAGCCGCGGUAAUACGGAGGGUGCAAGCGUUAAUCGGAAUUACUGGGCGUAAAGCGCACGCAGGCGGUUUGUUAAGUCAGAUGUGAAAUCCCCGGGCUCAACCUGGGAACUGCAUCUGAUACUGGCAAGCUUGAGUCUCGUAGAGGGGGGUAGAAUUCCAGGUGUAGCGGUGAAAUGCGUAGAGAUCUGGAGGAAUACCGGUGGCGAAGGCGGCCCCCUGGACGAAGACUGACGCUCAGGUGCGAAAGCGUGGGGAGCAAACAGGAUUAGAUACCCUGGUAGUCCACGCCGUAAACGAUGUCGACUUGGAGGUUGUGCCCUUGAGGCGUGGCUUCCGGAGCUAACGCGUUAAGUCGACCGCCUGGGGAGUACGGCCGCAAGGUUAAAACUCAAAUGAAUUGACGGGGGCCCGCACAAGCGGUGGAGCAUGUGGUUUAAUUCGAUGCAACGCGAAGAACCUUACCUGGUCUUGACAUCCACGGAAGUUUUCAGAGAUGAGAAUGUGCCUUCGGGAACCGUGAGACAGGUGCUGCAUGGCUGUCGUCAGCUCGUGUUGUGAAAUGUUGGGUUAAGUCCCGCAACGAGCGCAACCCUUAUCCUUUGUUGCCAGCGGUCCGGCCGGGAACUCAAAGGAGACUGCCAGUGAUAAACUGGAGGAAGGUGAGGAUGACGUCAAGUCAUCAUGGCCCUUAUGAUUUGGGCUACACACGUGCUACAAUGGCGCAUACAAAGAGAAGCGACCUCGCGAGAGCAAGCGGACCUCAUAAAGUGCGUCGUAGUCCGGAUUGGAGUCUGCAACUCGACUCCAUGAAGUCGGAAUCGCUAGUAAUCGUGGAUCAGAAUGCCACGGUGAAUACGUUCCCGGGCCUUGUACACACCGCCCGUCACACCAUGGGAGUGGGUUGCAAAAGAAGUAGGUAGCUUAACCUUCGGGAGGGCGCUUACCACUUUGUGAUUCAUGACUGGGGUG
rnacentral:rRNA from 1 species